GUGGCCAGACUGUUCACUUCUCACUCAAAAUCUCUUUCCAUCUCCAUCUGUAGUGAGAAUACCCUGAUUCAUUUGGAAUAGGAAUCACCUUACCUUUCCCAGCCUCACUUCUGGCUGCGAGAGCUCAUGGAGCAGCAUCGAGAUUGAUGGCACAUGUGCAGAGGCCCUGGUGUGGGGCUUUUGUGAAUGUUCUUUAAGUUCCUGCCCAGGCUGACUCUAUCAUACAAGCUGUAACUUCUGCCAGUCCUAUCACCCAGCAAACACAGAGAAACACCUCAUCGGAGCAUUUGCAGAUUCUGUUUCUCCUGCCUGCAGAAAGGGUGGGAGUGGCCAAGUUCAUCUCCAGCUUCGGAAAGGCUUGGUGCCAGAAGCCCUCACUUUGCCCUUCUCAAGUGGGCUAUAAGGGAAAUUCCACAGUAACAAAGACAGAAAGCUACUCUCACUCUUUCUUUCUGCAGUUCAGGACCACUUUCUUUAAUUUGUUGCUGUUGAUACACAGAACCUGGUACAUGGGAGAGGUCCAAUUCAUCCUUGUUGAAUGAGUGACUACAGGAAUUUGUCAUCGAGCCCUGAAUGUGAGUUGGUGUUGGUGAUAGGGAAAGUCUCUUGCUCACCUUUGUACUAGUGAAUUGGGAUUGUAUUGGUGAUUGAAUGUUGGAACUCAGCAUUGAUCCUGCAGCUAAUCUAAGGAUGCUGGUGAUAUUGCAACUGCAGAUACUACAGUACCACUAAACACACAGCAGCACCACCAAGCACUAUCCCA
rnacentral:lncRNA from 1 species